GAUGAACGCUGGCGGCGUGCUUAAUACAUGCAAGUCGAGCGGACGGACGAGAAUCUUGCGUCUCUCAUGUUAGCGGCCGACGGGUGAGUAACACGUGGAUAACCUACCUAUCAUACUGGGAUAAAUACGGGAAACCGGAUCUAAUACCGGAUGAUAUUUUGCCCCUCAUGGUUCACAAGUUAGAGACGGUCUUUCUGGCACUUAUAGAUGGAUCCGCGCUGCAUUAGCUAGUUGGUAAGGUAACGGCUUACCAAGGCAACGAUGCAGAGCCGACCGGAGAGGGUGAUCGGCCACACUGGAACUGAACCGCGGUCCAGACGACUAUGGGACGGAGCAGAAGGGUAUGGUACGCAAUGGGAGAGAGCCUGGCGGAGCAAAGCCGAGUGAGGUGUAGAAUGACUGGGAUCGUAAUGCUAUGCUACUAGGGAAGAACAUAUGUGUAAGUAACGGUGGAGAUCUUGACGGUACCUAAUCAGAAAGCACCGGCUAACUACGUG
rnacentral:rRNA from 1 species